rnacentral:rRNA from 1 species
UACGAAGGGGGCUAGCGUUGCUCGGAAUUACUGGGCGUAAAGAGCACGUAGGCGGCUCUUUAAGUCGGAGGUGAAAUCCUGGAGCUCAACUCCAGAACUGCCUUCGAUACUGAAGAGCUCGAGUCCGGGAGAGGUGAGUGGAACUGCGAGUGUAGAGGUGAAAUUCGUAGAUAUUCGCAAGAACACCAGUGGCGAAGGCGGCUCACUGGCCCGGUACUGACGCUGAGGCGCGAAAGCUAGGGGAGCAAACAGG